rnacentral:rRNA from 1 species
GAGUCUUCCUUGGCCGUAUAGGUCUGGGUAAUCUUGUAAAUGUGUGUCGUGAUAGGGAUAGAUUAUUGCAAUUAUUAAUCUUGAACGAGGAAUUCCUAGUAAAUGCGGGUCAUCAGCUCGCGUUGAUUACGUCCCUGCCCUUUGUACACACCGCCCGUCGCACCUACCGAUUGAAUGAUUCGAUGAAUUUUCCGGACUGUGAUCGAGGACGCUUCGGCGACCUGGUUGUGGGAAGUUA